UUAAAAACCAAAUAAAUAGAUAAAAGAACUACAAUGGGCCGCAAAAGUGUGGAAGAGCUCACCACCAUCAACUCGCCAAGUGAAGGGGAGCUCAAGAGCCUCUGAUGGGACAGAAGCUCUCCUUUCGGAAAAGUUGUACAAUUGAAUCACGAACCUCCACACCAGACAGAAAGAGUCUGCUUCAUCCAGAUGCCACUUUUAAUUGGAGAUUGUCAACCAGUGAGAAAGGACUUUACAAUCACAAAGGGACCAGGGCUCAUGUGUGAGAGAGAAUGAGAGAAGGAAUG